GAAAUGCGAUAAGUAAUGUGAAUUGCAGAAUUCAGUGAAUCAUCGAAUCUUUGAACGCACAUUUCGCCCCCUGGUAUUCCGGGGGGCAUGCCUGUUCGAGCGUCAUUUCACCACUCAAGCCUCGCUUGGUAUUGGGCGACGCGGUCCGCCGCGCGCCUCAAAUCGACCGGCUGGGUCUUUCGUCCCCUCAGCGUUGUGGAAACUAUUCGCUAAAGGGUGCCGCGGGAGGCCACGCCGUAAAACAACCCCAUUUCUAAGGUUGACCUCGGAUCAGGUAGGGAUACCCGCUGAACUUAAGC
rnacentral:misc_RNA from 1 species